UAUCUGGGAGGCUUAAUAUGCACUACACUGCUCUACAAUAUAUGGCAAUGAUGUCAUCCUACGAUACGCCAUCAUAGCUGAGCAGCCUGACAGGAACUCACCAAUGUGGAGUAUACGCAAGUGCCAGAGCUUAGUGUGUAGUGAGGCCUCGUUCCCCCCAGUUCUGCGAGUGGUGGCAACAAGUCCAUAUCACAGUCUAGGAAAGGUUGCUGACGGCCAUUUUAAAACAUUCCUGGGCCACUAGGCUAGAAAGAAUUCAACAUGGCAAAACCCAGACAUACAGUGUAUCGCCAUCUACUUCUGGAAUGCUUAGUCAUCAACAUAAAAACAAUAGAAAACAUACUGCAGAGAUAAACAGAAACAUACCGUAUAUAAAACACACAUGCACAAGCAUUGACAAUACUAGGAGAAAACUAAAGGCAGCAGAGAAAGACUUGUAAAAAAAACAAAACAAAAAAACAAAUGUAUAGAAUCUGUCAUAUCAAACCGCUAAUAAAAGGAAUUUACAAUAGCAUUAAUAAGAAAAAUAA